rfam:Triticum aestivum genome assembly, contig: Triticum_aestivum_CS42_TGACv1_scaffold_228421_3B
AACUUACUCCUCAGUCUCGAAUUACCUGUCUUGCAUUUGUCUAGAUACGAAUGUAUUUAGACAUAUUUUUGUGUUAGAUACAUUCGUAUGUAGAUAAAUCUAAGACAAGUAAUUUAGGACGAAGGUAAUACUAC